UGAGACUGUCAAGGUGGCGGGCCAGCCGAGCUCCGUGUGACAGCCCUGGCCCCUGAGUAUCUUCUGCUCUCUCCUGGAGUCUUCCAAGAGACAAGAUAAACUGGAUCUGCGGACAGAGGCCGGGAGAAAGGGGACGUCCAUCCGCAGUUCCCCAUGCCUCAGAUGGCAAUUCCAACAUUUUGGUACAGAUUUCUAGCAGCAUCUAAACAUAUCCAGCACGACAUACCCCGAAAGAAUAACAACGUACCAUCUCUUUGGUUUCCUGCUUUGCUUCGUGUGCUCAUCUUUUGUGAACGUCCUCGCUGAGGACAGGUGCACAGCUCCAUGCACAGCCUGUAUCGGCUGGGGACUGUUCCACCCUCAGGCGCAUCCUCUUCACCUCCACAGUUGCCUCGACACACACUGGCGGAGAGUGCUUGUGACCACGUCUGGCACUGCCCUUGACUAAACUCAGGUGCGAGUCUGUCUUCUCCCUCCCCCUGGACACACAGGCGCUUCUCAUCUGUGCUUCUCUGGUGAGCAUAUUUUCUGCCGUAAUAAUUAUGUCCUGUCAUUUCCCUACUUGUAGUCACCCAC
rnacentral:lncRNA from 1 species